UAAAUGCCAGUCGUUGCAGGAGU
rnacentral:miRNA from 1 species